UCUCUGAUAGCUCAGUUGGUAAAGAAUCUGCCUGCAGUGCAGGAGACCCUGGUUUGAUUCCUGGGUUGGGAA
rnacentral:tRNA from 1 species